AUGGUUUGUUUGCAAUCGUGUCAUUACGAUUUCUUGAGUCAUGUUGACGGCAGUGAAGGGACUUGAGCUAGAGUUCGUCACGGCCACGCUAGCUGGAGAUUCGUCUGUAAAAACUUGCAUUUGUGGUCACAGAGGUGCCUGUGCUAACCUUUCUAUGGUGUAGAAAUAUACCUAGUUGGAUGAAUCUUAUUGUGGCUAGCUGGUCUAGUGGCUAACGCGACGGGCUGGAGUUUUGAGACUCUAUGACCGCGGGUUCAAUCCCGGCCGGGGGUAUGGUUUGUUUGCAAUCGUGUCAUUACAAUUUCUUGAGUCACGUUAGGACAGGUUAAUUGUGAAAACAAUCUGUUACAAAAAAAAAUUAAUGUAUCUGUUCUUCAGAAUUUUUGUAUGAACAUUAAAUUUCUGUAUAUAAUUACACUUCUAUUAACCCUUUGACUGUCGCAAGCCCCUUUCUGAAACUGUCAUUCUAUGUUGAAAAAUUUUUGGAAAAAAAAAAAUUAUUUUUUUUCUUAUGAAAUGAUAAUCUUUUCCCUAUGGUAAUGACACCAAAAAGUACGAAAUUUGAUCGAACACUUACCGAAUUACGCCCCCGCAAAGUUAGCGAUCUCAGCGAUAUAUACGCAUCGGUGAUUUUGCUAACUUUGAGCCCUAUUUUCGGCCAAUUCCAUUAUUCCAGUCGACCAAACUCAUAGCUAUUUCUUUAGAACUCCAUUUUUUCUAUCAAUUGAGUACAAAAAAACACCCAUUUACCGAUUUCAACUACCCAAUGAAUUGGUCAGAAAUUGACAAUUUGGCCAAUUUCACGCAAAUUAAAAAAGAUGCCAAUUUCGAAAUAGCGUCCAGAAUACACAAUGCAGACAUUCUCUGCACUAAAAUAACAUAUCCUCUGUUCAUUAGUCAUAUCCCUAGGCCCCUCUUAUAUUACUCUUGCUUUCUAUUUUGAUUUUUUAUUCACACAAAAAAUAGAAGAUUUACUGUUAUGCAGACUACUGCAUUAUUUUAAAAAUGGUAUAAAUAAUAUCAGUGCACUAGUGAAAUAAAUAUUAUUAGAUUCCCCAGUUGAAGUGUAUUGGACGUGUGGUGUGAUUUUCUUACUCUUGAACAUUGGUAAAAAUCGAACAUUUCUGCUACUUUGAGCUCAAUUUCAAGGUCGUUUUCAUCAUGAAACUAAUAAAAAUCAUCUCUACUUCUGUAAUAUGUUUUUCAUUCUAUAAAAUGAGACCAAGAAAAUGAGAAUACAACCAUAAAUACAAUACGAAAAUACACCUCAAAUUCGGUGUUUUAAUCCAAAAACACAGUGAGUUUUUUUUCUCAUUAUGCACUGCAGGAUUUUUUUUAUAUAGUGCACACUGACUACACAGACCCCUUCUCUCACAUGUGGGCCUACCAGCUUUCUCCUGCUUGAUUUGAAGCCGCUAGAAUUAUUGAAUAUACUGUAUGUACGUCCAAAACGCUGGCUCGUAAGACGUAUAUAUACGACCGAAACAGUCAAUGGGUUAAUGUACAGUAUUUCUCUUCAGCUUAACAUCUUACAUUGCAACUCAGGAGAGGGAGGCUAAACUCCAUCACUGUCACACACUUUACUGCAAUCCUAAUGGCUAAUAUCAUAUAUGCUGUAAUUUUUCUUUCAGAUACAUACUUAUCUCUCUCACAUACUUUUGUCAUCUUACCAAGGUUUUGUUUUAAUGAGCUUGUAUUUUUUGAACUGGUACCACUGUAAUUGAAACAUGAAUGUUGAUGUAUAGCAUUGGUUACCCCCUACUUUUAACCAUCUAUUAUAUUUGCGAUUCAGUAUCAUUUAUUCUUUAAAAAGAAAUUUAACUAAAGCCUACUACUAGCUUACGAACAUCCCCAGCAACUUACUUGAGGUUCAGUUAUUGGAAGAAUAAACAUUAAAAUGUAAA